rnacentral:lncRNA from 1 species
UUUUUUCUUGUAUAGGAUGUGUUGAAUUUUUUCUAUCUAUUUUAUUGUAGGUAGUGGGUGCAUGUGGAUUUUUUCAGUGGUUUGACCCUCCAGUUGGUGAUCGAGCUGAAGUAAUUAUUACUAGACUGCUUAGGAAGAGCAGCAAGAUGGAAGAUGAGUUAAAGCAAGUUAAAAAGAGAAGGAUUUGUCUUUGGUUUUUUCUUGUAUUAUCCUGGAUCUUAAUAUGGAUCCUAUUUUGUAGUUUGAUGUCUACAGAAGGUUGUAAAGGCAAUUAAAAAUAUGGAUCCUGUUUUGAUGUGUAAAGAAGGUUGUGAAGGCCAUUAAAUAUAUGGGCCCUGUUUUGUUGUGUCUGCAGUAAUCCCUCUGUCAAGGCCUAGCUGUGCCAAAUUGUAGCCAAGUGUAUCUCGUAAAUGAAUGAAGCGGU